rnacentral:rRNA from 1 species
AACGAACGCUGGCGGCAGGCUUAACACAUGCCAGUCGAACGCCCCGCAAGGGGAGUGGCGCACGGGUGAGUAACGCGUGGAUAUCUGCCUUUUGGUUCGGAAUAACCCCGGGAAACUGGGGCUAAUACCGGAUGGUUCCUACGGGAUAAAGAUUUAUCGCCAAAAGAUGAGUCCGCGUACGAUUAGCUAGUUGGUGAGGUAAUGGCUCACCAAGGCGACGAUCGUUAGCUGGUCUGAGAGGACGAUCAGCCACACUGGGACUGAGACACGGCCCAGACUCCUACGGGAGGCAGCAGUGGGGAAUAUUGGACAAUGGGGGCAACCCUGAUCCAGCCAUGCCGCGUGAGUGAUGAAGGCCUUCGGGUUGUAAAGCUCUUUUGGCGGGGACGAUGAUGACGGUACCCGCAGAAUAAGCCCCGGCUAACUUCGUG